rnacentral:rRNA from 1 species
GAUGAACGCUGGCGGCGUGCCUAAUACAUGCAAGUCGAGCGAACGGACGAGAAGCUUGCCUCUCUGAUGUUAUCGGCGGACGGGUGAGUAACACGUGGAUAACCUACCUAUAAGACUGGGAUAACUUCGGGAAACCGGAGCUAAUACCGGAUAAUAUUUUGAACCGCAUGGUUCAAAAGUGAAAGACGGUCUUGCUGUCACUUAUAGAUGGAUCCGCGCUGCAUUAGCUAGUUGGUAAGGUAACGGCUUACCAAGGCAACGAUGCAUAGCCGACCUGAGAGGGUGAUCGGCCACACUGGAACUGAGACACGGUCCAGACUCCUACGGGAGGCAGCAGUAGGGAAUCUUCCGCAAUGGGCGAAAGCCUGACGGAGCAACGCCGCGUGAGUGAUGAAGGUCUUCGGAUCGUAAAACUCUGUUAUUAGGGAAGAACAUAUGUGUAAGUAACUGUGCACAUCUUGACGGUACCUAAUCAGAAAGCCACGGCUAACUACGUG